rnacentral:rRNA from 1 species
UACGAAGGGGGCUAGCGUUGCUCGGAAUCACUGGGCGUAAAGCGCACGUAGGCGGAUUGCUAAGUCAGGGGUGAAAUCCUGGAGCUCAACUCCAGAACUGCCUUUGAUACUGGCGGUCUCGAGUCCGGGAGAGGUGAGUGGAACUGCGAGUGUAGAGGUGAAAUUCGUAGAUAUUCGCAAGAACACCAGUGGCGAAGGCGGCUCACUGGCCCGGUACUGACGCUGAGGUGCGAAAGCGUGGGGAGCAAACAGG